rnacentral:piRNA from 1 species
UGCCCUAGAGAAAUAGCCGCACAGGUGCAU